UAGCAGCUGAGCAGCAUUCACAUCUUUGAGGUGCCGAACCCUCUGAAUCUCAUCAUAGCAGCAACAUCAGGGUCAAUGUCCUCAGCUACAUUCUGGCCAGCAUGUAAACGAAAAUUCAUUUCCGUACUAGUACUUGCUAGUAUUUCGUUACGAUGAAACUUCUACACACAUGAUUAAAACAGAGAACCUCCAGCAGAAGUCGGGGAACACGAGGAAUUCUCACAAAGAAACAAAGGGAGUACACAGUAUUGUUUUCUCGCAACUGAUGAAACAUGUCGACAUUGGUUAAACAAUUUCUUGAAGAUGCAAUAGGAUCAUGUCAGCAAACAGGGCCUGAAUCGGCAUCACUGCACAUAAACUAUCAGGUACAAGUAGGACCGACUAAAAUUUUUAAUCCCAACGGCCAGUAGAAAGUCUUCAGCAGCAUUCACUUACUAGGUUCUUUCAGGUGCCACCUCUGGUACCUACAUGUAGUCUGGACCCUAAACUACAAUACCAUGAAAAAUGAUCAUACUUCCCAGCUGCAGAGAAGAAAGAUAUCCUACUGAAAGCGCUGAAUGACUUGACCAAUAAAACGUCCGGCCUGACCAUCAGCGUAGCACUAGCAGCACAUAACAACAAAUUGUGAGAUGUUAGUACAACAUCAGAUAUAUAUGGAAAUCUGAAGUCCUUCAAAAGGCAUGUAAUGCUGAAUGACUUGAGUAAUACAUGCGAUUUUUCCUCAAACGGCAACUGAUUAUACAUGCACAAGAACAGGCAAAAUGGUUUAUAUGACCCUCCUAGACUAAUGCAAUGCAAAACACUCUCACUACAGCAAAUAGCAAACAAUGGCAGUCUUUUCAGAGCACGACAUACAUUGCAAUUGGAUACUAAACAUGGCAUACGUUGCAAUUGCAUAAGAAAGAAAAAUCAAAAGAUCAAAUAAUGAAUGGCAGCAGCUUCCGUCCAGCUACUUGUAUACACAUCAAAAGAGGAGCAUUGACAGUUGAGGAACCAUGAACAUGCAUCAGGAACAUCUAAUACCAUGUCUUGGGCAUAUCAUGGUAAUUUCAGAAUUUUAUAUCAAGCUAAAUCACAUUUCACAGAUGGUGAACAAUCUGUUGCUAGUCUCUGUUGGAGAAGGUUCGGCAGAGACCCUGAUAUUACCACAUUUUAAGCCUCUGCCUACAACCUCAAGGUUUAUCUACAAUGCUUCUAGUGCUUUUGUUGUUGCCAUAAACAAAUAUCAACAGGAAGAGAUGCAUACAAAUGCUUAAAUGGUCCAACUUAAUCAUCAUAGCAUAAUCAUGAUAAUAGAUUGGUCAACAACUAUUGACAUUAUUGCAUAACUUAUGUAAGACAUGAUUGCUGAAAACAGGAGCUCUUAUGAAGUAAAUGCUACCUUGUGCAAGUACACUAUUUCGAUAGAUCCAUAUAUGUUCAAACUGGCAUUGCUAUUCCAAGUGUCUAUGUAAGAAAGAUAAAAGUAUACGUAUAUAAAUUUAGAAGGCAAAUGGUUGCCAUACAGCACCAGACACAAGUUCAAGAUAUGGUCAAAACCAUGGAACAAGUUUUUUUUUAGAAAUGAAAGAUUUUCUGCUUUCAGCAACAUCAUCUACUCCCUCCGUUCCUAAACAUAAGUCCUUUUAGAGAUUUCACUAUAGACUACAUACGAAGCAAAAUGGGUGAAUCUACACUCUAAAAUAUGUCUAUAUACAUCCGUGUGUAUCCAUAUUGAAAUCCUAAAAAGACUUAUAUUUAGAAACGGAUGGAGUACUAUCUAUAUUAUUAAAAAAUAAUUAUUACCAAAACAGCAUUUAAUAAACGGUCUUCUAUUGAAUGAUGAUGAGAAUUCAUGAGAAAAGUCGAAACAGCAAACAGUUCCUUCCAAGUCCCAAACAGGACUUCUUUUUUUGCAUAUGCAGGACUAAAUGGCCAUUUUUUUUGUGUGUAAAUGGCUAUCUGGUGGCACUGGCAGUGCCUCAUAAAAACUGCAGGGCAACUGACCCCAAAAGUUAUUUAUGGAACUAUUUCGUAGAAGUGAAUUUCAUACCAAAAAACUAGAGAGCAAUGCAAAAAAACAUAUUCAAUAACACAGUUGUGCAGCCCUGGCACCACCACUGGUCCAAGGGAAGGGACAAAUAUAUACAAUACCUUCUUGAGAAUCACUUUCCUCCGAAAGAUGAAGCAGCAUCCUCAACAUUGCUACCCGAGGUCUUUGAGUCCCCAACAUCAUCUUCGCUUGCUGUGCCCUUCACCAGUUCUUCAUUUGGUCCACUCUUGGGAACAUCAUCCAAAGAAUCAUUCACCUCUUGAGCUUCAUAUGCACAUCCAUAUUGGUCGAACGUACUAGCACACGCCGGAGCAACUUCUCCACAACAUGGAACCCUAGGUGAAAACAAAGGCGUAAAUUUUCAGUUUGUAAUUGUUAAGUUUACUGAUAACACAAGACCAUAAAAGUUACUGCAAUCUGAGAAGAACAGCACAGCUACAAUUAUUGCAUCGACCAUUUUGACCAGAGGAGAUAACCAUGUUUUGUUGACUUCUGUCAUACUAGCAAGUACCAAAGAUAUAACUCUUCUUGAAUAGGGUAAUACCUAUCCCUUCCAUCAAUGCACUUUGAUUUGGUAUUCAUCACAAUGCACAUAUCAUAACAAAAGAUGCCAGGUCCUAACUCUCAAGUAUUGUUGUCGAAAAACACCAAGGCUGAUUCGACCCGUUGAAUCCCUCAAACACAGUUGGGCUCACCGCCAAACAUAAGAAAGGUAGACACCGACUAGCAGGUACCUCCUUGUAAAGCAUCAAAAACCGCUCUAAACUCAUCUUCCAAAGUAAAAGACUGAAAGUCCCAAAGUAUCUAAGGGGAAGUUUAAUUCCACAGUCACAUCCGUACAAAUGUUUCAGCCUAGCUCGGAAUAGGGGAGGAGUUUGGGAAUAGAGCCCUCACCCGAUAUCAUGGUUAAGGCUGAUGGAUUUGAAGGUGUUGACAAAGUUCCCCUCAUUGAUAGCAUUGGACCCCUUGUCGAACGGCUGUCGUGCAUGAUCCAUUGUUUUCUCCCCAUCUGCCCCCUCCUCACCACCUGUCUCCUCAGUAGGCUUCGACACCAGCAGAUUCUGCUGGCUGCCUCGGGGCACAGGAGUGUAGAAGGUGACAACUGGAACCAAAUUACUGAAGCCACGAUGAUUGCACGCCUUUCUCACCUGCUCUGAUUGUAGCUCAAGUAUGAAGAAGCCAGCAGUUGAGGCAACAAAAACAGCAUUUGCUCCCUCGAUGAAGCCCAUCACGACCACUCUAAAACCUUCAUUCAAGCCAACACAAGGUGGGAACAGAUUGCGCAGGUAGAUGGUCCGGGUCAGCACCCAUCGUCCUUCACUUGCCUCUCUUGCCCACAAUCUGAGACGCGGAUCUAGGUCUUCAAUAACUGUUGCUAGUCUCUGUUCCUAGUCUCUGUCGGGUGAACAAUCUGUUGCUAGUCUCUGUUGGAGAAGGUUCGGCAGAGACCCUGAUAUUACCACAUUUUAAGCCUCUGCCUA
rnacentral:lncRNA from 1 species